rnacentral:rRNA from 1 species
GUCUGAGAGGACGACCAGCCACACUGGGACUGAGACACGGCCCAGACUCCUACGGGAGGCAGCAGUGGGGAAUUUUGGACAAGGAUGGCUGGGCGAGCCUGAUCCAGCAAUGCCGCGUGUGUGAAGAAGGCCUUCGGGUUGUAAAGCACUUUUGUCCGGAAAGAAAUCCUUGGCUCUAAUACAGCCGGGGGAUGACGGUACCGGAAGAAUAAGCACCGGCUAACUACGUGCCAGCAGCC